UACGGAGGGUGCGAGCGUUAUUCGGAAUUACUGGGCGUAAAGCGCGUGUAGGCGGCCCUAAAAGUCUGAUGUGAAAGCCCCGGGCUUAACCUGGGAAGAGCAUUGGAAACUCUAGGGCUUGAGUACUGGAGAGGAUGGGGGAAUUCCCGGUGUAGAGGUGAAAUUCGUAGAGAUCGGGAGGAAUAUCAGUGGCGAAGGCGCCCAUCUGGACGGUAACUGACGCUGAGACGCGAAAGCGUGGGGAGCAAAC
rnacentral:rRNA from 1 species